rnacentral:piRNA from 1 species
UAAUUUUGCGCCUGGAAAAGUUCCAUCUC